ncrna:Helix 44 (Small Subunit) from Escherichia coli (PDB 3IZZ, chain E)
CACCGCCCGUCACGCCAUGGGAGCGGGCUCUACCCGAAGUCGCCGGGAGCCUACGGGCAGGCGCCGAGGGUAGGGCCCGUGACUGGGGCGAAGUCGUAAC